rnacentral:tRNA from 3 species
AUUCGCAUAGCUUAAAUGGAUAGAGCACACGGCUACGAACCGUGGUUUUGUGGGAGUUCGAGUCUCUCUGCGAAUG